CUUUUAACCCGAUCGUUCAGCUGUGCGCCUUUAACCGGGCUGCACGCUGGAGCAAGACCCCACACCUGUGCACCUUUUCGGUUGCGGCUUCGGUCGCUGCCGCUUUUAAAUGCAACAACUCAGUCUCGAAUGUUAACAAAACCAUAAAAAAUAACAACUUUCAACAACGGAUCUCUUGGCUCUCGCAUCGAUGAAGAACGCAGCGAAAUGCGAUAAGUAAUGUGAAUUGCAGAAUUCAGUGAAUCAUCGAAUCUUUGAACGCAUCUUGCGCUCCUUGGUAUUCCAUGGAGCAUGCCUGUUUGAGUGUCACGUAAACCCUCACCCUUGCGAUGUAACAGUCGCUCGCGGUGGACUUGGACUGUGCCGUAACCGGCUCGUCUUGAAAUGCAUUAGCUGGCGCUUUUAGAGUGCUGGGCGACGGUGUGAUAAUUAUCUGCGCCAAUGCCUUAGGCCUCUUCAGCGGUGCUGCUUACAGCCGU
rnacentral:rRNA from 1 species